ACAAAACUGGCUGGAGUUUCAGUGAUGCUGAGUUGGGAACGACUUCCAUCCAUUCUAUAUGAUUGGUAAGACAAGGGAAGCUCACCCUUAGAACGCAGCCACCACGUGGUGAGGAAUCCCAGGCUACCUAGUGAGUCUUCAUGUAGAUACUCCAGCUGAGACUAGCCAACGUCCUAGCCAAAGGCCAGCCUCAACAGCCAAACACGUGCGUGAACAAGCCUUUAGAUGAUUCUAGUCUCCAGCUUCCAGUUAUGCCAGCUGAUGCCAAAUGAAGAAGAAAUGAGUUGCCCUACUCUGCUUUGCCUAAACUAAAGAUUGGUGAACAAGAGAAAUGCUGUUUUGAACUACUAGGUUUUGAGGUGGCUUAUUAUGCAGCAGUAAAUUACUACCACAGAUACUGAUACUAAAAAUGGUGUGCUGCUAUU